GGUUGAUAUGGCUGUUGAUCGUGGAUGCUAUAUAGACCAGAGUCAAAGCCUUAACGUCCAUAUGGACCAACCCAAUUUCGGAAAGCUUACUUCUCUCCACUUUUAUGCUUUGUACAGGUCAACCUUGGGCUUUUGUGCAAUGGAUGGAAAAGCUUAGCAUAGAGGAAGAGUUAAGCUUUAUUUUGGCAGAUCAUCAGGAAGUUCUUUCCUAAAGAGAAUGGUCCAGUAACAAAUUAUGAUCCAUUCAGCAAUUCUCCCGUCCAUGAAUCUUUGGUUAUAUGGUAUGAUAGUGUUACCACUGAUGGUAGUCUUCUCUGGCAAGAUCAAUUAAAUGAAAAAAAUAAGCCUUUUUUUGAUGAAUGUGAUGGCAUAUUUGUGAACUAUACAUGGAAGG